ACCUGGUUGAUUCUGCCAGUAGUCAUAUGCUUGUCUCAAAGAUUAAGCCAUGCAUGUCUAAGUAUAAGCAAUUACAAAGCGAAACUGCGAAUGGCUCAUUAUAUAAGUUAUCGUUUAUUUGAUAGUACCUUACUACAUGGAUAACCGUGGUAAUUCUAGAG
rnacentral:rRNA from 3 species